UUAUUUCCUUCAUCUUCUUCGCUCUCUCAUAUCUUUGCUUCACCGAUCAAAUAUACAUGCACACAUAUCCGUCUCUCUCAGGGAACUUGAGCAAUAAGUUACUGGUUUCACCGUUCAUAAACAACACAAGAUCAUUUUCGAUGGAUAUGAUUAUCAUGGGACAUCAUUUGAGCAGAGUUACCGUUGUUACCCUGCCUCUUUUAUUGAAAAGCCACAAAUUGAAAGUGGCGAUAAAAUUAUAAUGCCUCCGUCGGCCCUUGAUCUCUUAGGUCCAUGUUAUCUUGUUUUAGAGUUAUAUUAUUUUGCAAU